GCUGUCGCCCUCGCUGGACACAAGUCACUGCCAAAAAGAAGGGACCGCCGAUGAAUAGAAAUACAAAAUGAAGACGGGACGCACAGCUAGCGGAGCUUUUU